rnacentral:rRNA from 1 species
GCGAACGCUGGCGGCAGGCCUAACACAUGCAAGUCGAACGAACCUUUCGGGGUUAGUGGCGGACGGGUGAGUAACACGUGGGAACGUGCCUUUAGGUUCGGAAUAACUCAGGGAAACUUGUGCUAAUACCGAAUGUGCCCUUCGGGGGAAAGAUUUAUCGCCUUUAGAGCGGCCCGCGUCUGAUUAGCUAGUUGGUUGAGGUAAUGGCUCACCAAGGCGACGGUCAGUAGCUGGUCUGAGAGGAUGAUCAGCCACAUUGGGACUGAGACACGGCCCAAACUCCUACGGGAGGCAGCAGUGGGGAAUCUUGCGCAAUGGGCGAAAGCCUGACGCAGCCAUGCCGCGUGAAUGAUGAAGGUCUUAGGAUUGUAAAAUUCUUUCACCGGGGACGAUAAUGACGGUACCCGGAGAAGAAGCCCCGGCUAACUUCGUG